GGUUGAUCCUGCCAGUAGUCAUAUGCUUGUCUCAAAGAUUAAGCCAUGCAUGUCUAAGUAUAAGCAAUUUAUACAGUGAAACUGCGAAUGGCUCAUUAAAUCAGUUAUAGUUUAUUUGAUAGUACCUUACCUUAUUCGGAUACCCGUGGUAAAUCUAGAGCUAAUACGUGCUAAAAACCCCGACUUUUCGGAAGGGGUGUAUUUAUUAGAUAAAAAAUCAAUGCCUUCGGGCUCUUUGAUGAUUCAUAAUAACUUUUCGAAUCGCAUGGCUUCAUGCCGGCGAUGGUUCAUU
rnacentral:rRNA from 1 species